ACCUUCGCUUCGACAAAAUCGUUUCAGACUAAUUCCAAGCCAAACUGUAGAUUCUAUGCCUUCAAGGGAUGUAAGCAUGGUGUCCAUUAAUACGGUUGAAAUGUUAAGCUAGCACACUUAUUCAGUGAAAUUCUGCUUCUGAUAUCAGUGUGGAUAUCGGUAGUUGGUUACUCUAUUGUUGCCUUUGCCAGGUUAGGCUGGAAACAGUUGGUGCAGAGAUGCAGGUUUUAACAAAAGUGAGAAAUGGAUCUCGCUUCAGGCCGAUGGUCAGGUUGUUCUGACUCCUGACAGGGGACAAGAAGCAUCUUCACAGAUACUGCCUAUCAAUUUUGAUGGACUGGCAAAGUCAAUCAAGAAGGGAGACACCAAUUUUAUUGGUCAAUACUUGCUCACAGGAAGUGAAACUACUUCUGUAUUGCUAGAGCCUUUUGGGAGUGAGAAUAGCAACUCCCAGUAGGAGAUUUCGUAUUGAAGACUAGUUUGGUUGCGCUGGACAAAGUGAACCGUGCAGGAUAUAAGGAGGCCCAAUUUGUUAUUGGCAUCUUGGAUGUGUGGAAUACAAGAGGUCAAUUGGAGCAGACAUAUUACAGCAACGACUACCGGAUUAUGUAUUGUAGGAGAUAAAAAUCAUACUCUGAUUUGAACCGAUUCUACACGAUGUUAGGACAUAACAUAA